CGUAGCUCAGCUGGGAGAGCGCUUGCUUGACAGGCAAGAGGUCGCUGGUUCGAGCCCAGUCGGAGUCAUACCA
rnacentral:tRNA from 1 species